rnacentral:rRNA from 1 species
GGGCGGGGGGGUGCCUAUACAUGCAAGUCGAGCGAAUGGAUUAAGAGCUUGCUCUUAUGAAGUUAGCGGCGGACGGGUGAGUAACACGUGGGUAACCUGCCCAUAAGACUGGGAUAACUCCGGGAAACCGGGGCUAAUACCGGAUAACAUUUUGAACUGCAUGGUUCGAAAUUGAAAGGCGGCUUCGGCUGUCACUUAUGGAUGGACCCGCGUCGCAUUAGCUAGUUGGUGAGGUAACGGCUCACCAAGGCAACGAUGCGUAGCCGACCUGAGAGGGUGAUCGGCCACACUGGGACUGAGACACGGCCCAGACUCCUACGGGAGGCAGCAGUAGGGAAUCUUCCGCAAUGGACGAAAGUCUGACGGAGCAACGCCGCGUGAGUGAUGAAGGCUUUCGGGUCGUAAAACUCUGUUGUUAGGGAAGAACAAGUGCUAGUUGAAUAAGCUGGCACCUUGACGGUACCUAACCAGAAAGCCACGGCUAACUACGUGCCAGCAGCCGCGGUAAUACGUAGGUGGCAAGCGUUAUCCGGAAUUAUUGGGCGUAAAGCGCGCGCAGGUGGUUUCUUAAGUCUGAUGUGAAAGCCCACGGCUCAACCG